GUAGGGAAUAUUGGACAAUGGGGGCAACCCUGAUCCAGCGACGCCGCGUGAGUGAUGAAGGCCUUCGGGUCGUAAAGCUCUGUUGCAGGGGAAGAACACAAUGACGGUACCCUGCUAGAAAGGAUCGGCUAACUUCGUGCCAGCAGCCGCGGUAAGACGAGGGAUCCUAGCGUUGUUCGGAAUUAUUGGGCGUAAAGCGGGUGCAGGUGGCUUGGUAAGUCAGAUGUGAAAGCCUGGGGCUUAACCCCAGAAGUGCAUUUGAUACUGCUGAGCUUGAGUGCUGGAGAGGCUAUUAGAAUGCCUGGUGUAGUGGUGAAAUACGUAGAUAUCAGGAGGAAUACCGGAGGCGAAGGCGGAUAGCUGGCCAGACACUGACACUCAGACCCGAAAGCGUGGGGAUCAAACAGGAUUAGAAACCCUGGUAGUCC
rnacentral:rRNA from 1 species